rnacentral:rRNA from 1 species
AACGAACGCUGGCGGCAUGCCUAACACAUGCAAGUCGAACGAGACCUUCGGGUCUAGUGGCGCACGGGUGCGGAACGCGUGGGAAUCUACCCUCAGGUUCGGAAUAACUCAGAGAAAUUUGAGCUAAUACCGGAUGAUGACGUCAGACCAAAGAUUUAUCGCAUGAGGAUGAGCACGCUUAGGAUUAGGUAGUUGGUGAGGUAAAGGCUCACCAAGCCGACGAUCCUUAGCUGGUAUGAGAGGAUGAUCAGCCACACUGGGACAGGGACACGGCCCAAACUCCGACGGAAGGCAGCAGGGGUGAUUAUGGGACAAUGGGCGAAAGCCGAAGCCAGCAAUGCCGCGAGAGUGAUGAGGGCCUUAGGAUUGUAAAGCGCUUUUACCCGGGAUGAUAUUAACGUUACCGGGAGAAAAAGCCCCGGCUAACUCGUG